AUACUUACCUGGACGGGGUCGAUGGGCGAUCAAUAAGGCCCAUGGCCUAGAUUGAUGACUUCCAUUGCACUUUGAAAGGGUGUUAAUCUAAGGUCUACCCUUAGAGGUGGAGCCUACGUCAUAAUUUGUGGUAGUGGGGGCCUGCGUUCGCGCGGCCCCUAU